GCAUUAAGGAGCACAACCAUCAAAUGGUAAUAAGUAUAUUUAUUUUGAAUACAAAUCUGGGAUGGACAAUGGGAAAACAGCUUCUUCUUCAGAUCGAGAAAGCUAGUUCAGUGCUCCAGAGGAUGAAGAUGAGCCUCAUCCAAAUUUGUUAAGGAGGACAACUAUUGGAAAUGGUCCUCCAGAAUCAAUAUUUUGAGCAGGUCCUCCAGAAUCAAUAUUUUACUGAGCAACUUCAUCUCGAAUAGGUGUUCAACAUCUCUAAUGGUGGCUAGGUACUGGGUGGACACUGGUUAGCUGCUGGUUUCCGAGAAAAAUCCUUACUAGCAGCAAGUUGAGACCAGAGUGCAGAGUGCAGAACUUUUGGGAAAAUUUUUUGUUGUGUUAUUGAGG